UCUAUCUAGUUUUCUUGGCAACAAUCCAGAAGUGGUUUGCUAUUGCCUCCUUCCAGGACAUUUUUUUAGCUUUGCAGUCUAGCUUCCAACUUUGAAAUUCCCUGAAGGAAUCCUAUCCAGCCAAGUACCAACCAGGCCUGACCCUGUGGAUCUGCCAAAUCCAAACAAGGUACUGACAGCCCUAAAAACAAAUUGGUGACCAUCAGAUGACUUUCUUGCCUACUUCUCAUGAAGGUCAUCUUCAUUUGGAAAAAAAAGUCUUAUAAUGAUGUGAAAAAGGGAAAGUUUGUCCUGUCUUCAUUUUGGAAUGGAAGACCCAGAUGUUCCUCAGCAAUCAACCAGCUAUGCCAAUGUAUCCAACGUUUCCAAAAGCAUGGAAGAAGACUGAUCUUUGGAAGGACUUAUAUUGAUGGUCACAGGUACUCUAAUUGUAAAAUCUGAUUUUGUAUCCUUUUUUUAUUUUUGUAACACAAUAUUAUUAUGCACAAUUUGGUAGUUAUGUUAGAAUUAAAAAUGUUUUAAAAUAUUAAAAAUGUUCAGUUCAUUGAAGGAUAAAUGAAAUUGAGUAUG